UACGUAGGGUGCGAGCGUUGUCCGGAAUUACUGGGCGUAAAGAGCUCGUAGGUGGUUUGUCGCGUUGUUCGUGAAAUCUCACGGCUUAACUGUGAGCGUGCGGGCGAUACGGGCAGACUUGAGUUCGGUAGGGGAGACUGGAAUUCCUGGUGUAGCGGUGAAAUGCGCAGAUAUCAGGAGGAACACCGGUGGCGAAGGCGGGUCUCUGGGCCGAUACUGACGCUGAGGAGCGAAAGCGUGGGGAGCGAACAGG
rnacentral:rRNA from 1 species